GAUGAACGCUGGCGGCGUGCCUAAUACAUGCAAGUAGAACGCUGAAGCUUGGUGCUUGCACCGAGCGGAUGAGUUGCGAACGGGUGAGUAACGCGUAGGUAACCUGCCUCUUAGCGGGGGAUAACUAUUGGAAACGAUAGCUAAUACCGCAUAAAAGUCGAUAUCGCAUGAUAUUGAUUUGAAAGGUGCAAAUGCAUCACUAAGAGAUGGACCUGCGUUGUAUUAGCUAGUUGGUGAGGUAACGGCUCACCAAGGCGACGAUACAUAGCCGACCUGAGAGGGUGAUCGGCCACACUGGGACUGAGACACGGCCCAGACUCCUACGGGAGGCAGCAGUAGGGAAUCGUCGGCAAUGGGGGCAACCCUGACCGAGCAACGCCGAGUAAGUGAAGAAGGUUUUCGGAUCGUAAAGCUCUGUUGUAAGAGAAGAACGAGUGUGAGAGUGGAAAGUUCACACUGUGACGGUAACUUACCAGAAAGGGACGGCUAACUACGUG
rnacentral:rRNA from 1 species